GAUCUUAUAAAAGGCAUGUGCUCUUCAGAGAUGAACAGAAUCUGAAAGACUGUCAACAGAACUCUAGGUGACAAAGAUCCAUAGUGACACCACCAUAACUCCAUCACUCCACAUUAACACCAGGGUGCUUGUUUAUGAGCAUGACUGUCGAGGCCGAGGUGUUCUCUCCUGGAGAACCCCAGCAGCAUAACAGGCUAGGCUCCAAAGGUUUCUUCAGGUCAAAACUCCAUCCCGGCCCAAGCUUGCUGUGUGCCCUUGUCUAAAGCUUGUAGCCCAGCCCAGCAAUGAGUGAUUGUAGUUGGCAUUUUAUUUGGGUCACCAACCAGCUUCCAAAUAAAGACACAGAGACGACAA